GAAAUUUUAUCAAUGAUUGUAUACUAUGCAUGUUUUGAUUUAGUUCGUUUCAGAUUUGACAUGAGAUGAAAACCUGACAUGAUUUGAACAGAGCUGGGAAACGAAAAGAUUUUCAGAUGUGUGCUGGCAGUUCAAGUCUGGCAGCUGGAGUGAACAGUCGUGUUUUCUGGAGCUCCAACAAUAUGCUAGAAGGAGUGCUUAUCCAGUGAUGAUAUGACAGUUGGAGUGAACAGUGGAGCCAAGCAGUCUUGUUUUUGGAGCUACUCAACAAGCCUUGAAGAUGCUGAUGGCAGUGAUGGGUUUUCAAGCUGACCUGAACAGAAAAGCACUCAUAUGGUAAGUACAAAAUAGUUGUUAUAUGGGAUGUUUUGUGCAUGCUUUUAUGUUUCAGGUGUACUUGCUGACAGCGACGAAGACGAAUCAAGAAGAGGAACAUUGUUGAGAAAGUGAUUGGGACUUGCAAACAGGGUAAGUGUAACACUUGUGUUUGUUUAAUUUGUAACAUGCGUGCUUUGCUCUGUUUCAGAUUUCACAUGCAGAAAUUAAACAGGAUUUCAACUGCUGAGACACAAUUCAUCAAAAGUAAGGUAAGUUUUAAUUCAUUGAUUUGAGUUGUACAAUGUGUUCUUUACUUUAUUUCAGAUUCGAGUCACUGGUUUACACAUGGAAGAAGAUUUCCACGUCUGUUACUCAACUCUACAGAAGCAAGGUAAGUCGAUCAAAUUUUUGUUUUCAUUGACUGCUGUAAUGUGAUGUUAUGCUAUUUUUCAUGUGUGCUAUGCAGAGAUGGAGAAUUCAAUUUUAAGAAAGAUUAACUGCUGCAGCUUAGCUCUGCUCUGUGUUGAUUUUUGUUCAAAAACGUUUAAAAUGUAUGUGUGUUUUCAGAUGUUUUGUUUCAGUUGAUGUCCAGAUGGCAAGCAGUACAGACGUGUUUCUUGGAGCUGCCAAACAGUGUACUUGUAGUCAGCGACGAAGACGAUUCAAGAAGAGGAACAUUGCUGAGAAAGUGAAUGGGACAUGCAAACAGGGUAAGUGUUACAAUUGUUGGUUUGAUUUUUACCAUGCAUACUUUGCUUUACUCUGUUUCAGAUUUCACAUGCAGAAAUGGUCUCAUAGCAGUGCCAACAGUGAAUAAGGAUUUCAUCUGCUGUGAAACAACUCAACAGAAAGUAGGUAAGCAUUGAAUGAAUGCACUUGAGCUGUACAAUUUGAUGUGAUGCUUUUCUCUGUUUCAGAUUCAAGUUCCUGGUGUAGACAGAGAAAUGUGUUUGAAGAAGGAAUUCUACUACUGUGAUUCAACUCUACAGAAGCAAGGUAAGUAGAAACAAAAUUUUGGUUUAAUUUAACUCAUGUGUUUUGCACUGCAUGCUAUUUUUCAGGUCUCUCAUGCAGUGAGGGAAAAGAAGAAGAUUUCAAGAAAAAAUCACUGCUGCAACUCAGGCCGAUAACAAGGUAAGCGUUUACUAUAUUGUAUACAAAAUGUUUUUCUGUUUUACUCUGUUUCAGGUUUCAAUUGCAGAGAUGUUGCAGAGAUGAUUUGACAGCUUGUGACAGAAAAGAAAUUCAGCAGCUGUGUCUCGACUCUAGCCACGAGGUAAGUCAAAACAAAUAUACUGGUUUGUAUGUAAUGUUGUUAUGUCCCUUCUAUGUUUCAGACUUACAUUGCUGUGACUGUUCGACAGUGGGUCAAAAAAGAGACAAAUACAGGUUUCAAGAAGAAAAUUGGCUGUUGAAAACCUGCACAAAAUAUGAGGUAAGUAAACUAUUCUUUUGGUUUGUUUUGUGCUUUGUUAUGCUUAACUAUUUUUCAGAUUGGAAUGGUGGGUCGUUACAGAGCAGACUUUUGGACAACUGAGAAGUUGAGAAACAGAGAAUGAUUCAAGAUCAGCUAGGUAAGUCUUGAUUAUUAUGCAUUGCUAAAUGUUUUUUUCAUUCCAGUAUGGCUGUGGUAAGUACACAAACUUUCUAUAAUUUAAUAUUGAACUGUUUUUAUGACCUGUAUUCUGCAUUGUAAAAUGUCUGUUUUUCAUUUCAGUAUCCUGUGGUAAGUACACAAACUUUCUAUAAUUUCAUAUUGAACUGUUUUGAUGACUUGUAUUCUACUAUGCAAUGCUUAAUGUAUUUUUUCAGUAGCCUGUUGGUAAGUACAAUUGCCUUCUUUAAUUUUCAUAUUGAACUGUUUUGAUGAUGUGUAUACUGCUAUGCAAUGCUUAAUGUUUUUUUCAUUUCAGUAUGGCUGUGGUAAGUACACAUACUUUCUAUAAUUUCAUAUUGAACUGUUUUGAUGACUUGUAUACUGCUAUGCAAAAUGUCUGUUUUUCAUUUCAGUAGCCUGUGGUAAGUACACUAACUUUCUUUAAUUUUCAUAUUGAACUGUUUUGAUGACUUGUAUUCUGCUAUACAAAAUGUGCUUUUUUCAAUUUCAGGUCAGCAAUGGUAAGUAUAGUGUGUUUCUUUAUGUAUAAUUUUGUAUACAUAUUGUUUUUUUCAUCAUAGCAUGUCUUUUAUAUUUAUGCUUUGUGUAAGUAAAAUGUUCAUAAAUCAUUCUUAUCUUCAAACUAAAAAUGUAUUGUGCUAUGCAAAAUGUCUGUAUGAUUUCAGUUGCCAGAGGUGAGUACCAUUACAGUUGAAAAGUUAGUUUUGUUUAGUUAAAGUUUUGGUUCACAGUUCUGUUUGUUAUUUGGCAAAAUUUACAUGUAUGCAUUGAGUCUUGAUUUCAGCUAGAUUGUGGACUGAAGAAGAUUGCCAGCAGAGGGAUUGGAUACAAGAUACAAACUUUACUGCUGGACGAGUGUUCUCUACUACUAGACGUGUCAGGUUUACUACCAGGCGAGCAGUGACAACAAGGCGCCUUUGUGGAAACAACACAACAAAAAACUGUACUGCUAGACGAGCAGUGACAGAAAGGCGCCUGAACAUGCAACACAAUACAAAAAAUGCCAAUUUGCAAACCUUGAUGUGGACACCGAGUAGUCAAUACAUACGUGUGGCGUAUAGCUGCGACAAAACCGUGGGUCCAUCGCACCGAUAACUCGAACAUUGGCCCGCGUAUGGACAUCAGUGCAACUUUGUGAAUCCAUGUAACUUUGUGAAUCCAUGUAACAUUGCGAAUAUGUGUCGAUCGAAAAAUGUGUACAUUCUGCACUGAAACGAACUCGGUGUUGCAAGUGGCAAGUGUUGACAGUGUGUAUGUUUAUGUUUAUGUUUUUACAUGAAAACUAAAGGAGAUUGUUCUCCUACCUUUUUUUUCCUUGUUUUAUUGCGCUGGCCAGCAAUAUUGAUGUAUUGAUGUAUGUGUUUGUGUUUAAACUAUGCAAUACCAAAAUCAAACAAAAAAUAAACAUUAACAGUCAUUAACUGUGUUUGGGCGGCCGAGGGGUUUAAGACUCCACAAGUGUGAAGCGCACUGAUAGCACUUGGGGGUGAACACCUCGGUAUUUCGGUGCUAAAAUGUUUUCACGGUGCUUAUCUUGACGCACUGUUAAGACUACCAACCAGUUAAUGAUUGCUUCAUCUUUAAACAAAAAGUAAGUCUCUACUUUGGCACAAGAGACUCCAAGUACCAAAUACCAACAAUUAAAAAGCAGACGUUUUUCAAAACUAUGAUCGCUGAGAUUGAUAGUCAGAUGGAGUCCUGCCCAGUUAGCUGUGUAGCGGUCUAGGGCGGGGUUGCAAGUCAAUACGAAAUGAGGCGCUAUAAAGCAACUCGUCCCCGUUAUGACCGUCAAUACUUUCGACACUAUCUGGGAAUCCUUUCAACACCACAUUGUUGCGCUGUUGGAAGGGUGGUAGGCACGCAUGGUGACAUGCCUGUGCUUUGCUAUGCGACACCAUGGUAUUUUCGUACGGUGACACGAAAUAUCUUAAUCUGGCUCUCUCAGAAACGCAGGCACGCGUUGACCGAACCUGACCGAUGACCGAGCAAUAACAUUUCUAUUAAGUGCUUCAAUGCACAAAGUCUGCUAGGCUGGGUGGGAA